rnacentral:rRNA from 1 species
UGGGGAAUUUUCCGCAAUGGGCGCAAGCCUGACGGAGCAAUACCGCGUGAGGGAGGAAGGCUCUUGGGUCGUAAACCUCUUUUGUCAGGGAAGAACACAAUGACGGUACCUGAGGAAUAAGCAUCGGCUAACUCCGUGCCAGCAGCCGCGGUAAUACGGAGGAUGCAAGCGUUAUCCGGAAUGAUUGGGCGUAAAGCGUCCGCAGGUGGUCUUGUAAGUCUGUGGUUAAAGNGCGGGGCUCAACUCCGUAAAGGCCAUGGAAACUACAAGACUAGAGUGAAGUAGGGGUAGAGGGAAUUCCCAGUGUAGCGGUGAAAUGCGUAGAGAUNUGGAAGAACACCGGUGGCGAAAGCGCUCUACUGGACCUGCACUGACACUGAGGGACGAAAGCUAGGGGAGCGAAAGGGAUUAGAUACCCCUGUAGUC